rnacentral:rRNA from 1 species
CAGUCGCCGCGGGAAUACGAAGGGGGCUAGCGUUGCUCGGAAUGACUGGGCGUAAAGGGAGCGCAGGCGGACAUAUAAGUCCAUCUUAAAAGUGCGGGGCUCAACCCCGUGAGGGGAUGGAAACUGUAUGCCUUGAGUGCAGGAGAGGAAAGGGGAAUUCCCAGUGUAGCGGUGAAAUGCGUAGAUAUUAGGAAGAACACCAGUGGCGAAGGCGACUUUCUGGACGAAAACUGACGCUGAGGCGCGAAAGCCAGGGGAGCAAACAGGAUUAGAUACCCGAGUAGUCCCUGUCUCUUAUACA